rnacentral:lncRNA from 1 species
GCCCUCUCAAGGAACCCCUAGGCCCCUCAAAUGUUAGCAAUGACCAUGGCUGCAUUCACGCCACAUUUUAGAGAUCUAUUGGCUCGAAUUUGUUUCAGCAAAGUUAAUAAAAGAAACAGUAAGUUCACUUUGAUUUCAUUCUGUUAGUUUUUUAAAAAAUCUGGAUUCAUCUCUUCUAGAUUGAAAAACAUGUUAUUAGAUUUUUAGGAAUAAUAGUUGUGAGCAUGUCUGUUUUGUUGAGCCAAAUUAGCCGGGUCUAUUUAUUGUUAUACUUGUUCUUAGUUUAAAUCUGAGAUUCGGCGUGCUUUCUUUAAUCCCUGUUAUUUGAGGGUUAGUCCGAGUUCACUUUGAGAUGAUUUUGAUUGCUUGCAAUUUCCUUGUUUGAUUUCUUGAUUUGUUGAGUAUACAUAUCAGUCAAUAAUUUGAGGUGAUGGUUUCUGAAUAGUUGGGUAUUGGACUUAUUUGCUGAAGGUUAUUUAGCAUUUUUCUUUGUUUAGUAUCGAAUUGAUUUGAUUAGGAGGGCUAAAUACCAAGUAAGUAGCUCAAAGGUAGUACAGGAUAUUCCUCCUUAUUUUCUAAUAAUUUUAGGACAAAUAAGAGUAAUAUAGAACUUUUAACUUAGCUCUGGUAAUAUUAGGGACAAAAUAAGGGUAAUAUAGAACUUUCAACUUAGCUUUGGUAAUAUUAGGGACAAAAUAAGGGUAAUAUGGGUAGUCCAUGAAGGGUAGAUGAUGGUAGAAGUGUUUAGGUCCUUCCAGAAAGGGUCUUAGUUCAAUAUCAGUAGAUUUAUUGCAUUAACUUGGGCAACAAGUCAAAAAAUGAAGGUCCAAAUAUGUAAAAACUUGAAACUGAAGGGAGGACCUUUAGUAAAAAAUAAUAAUAAAGUUGCCCUAGCUAUUUGGCUAUAAAAAGAGAUUGAAAACCACUGAAGGGGGUGGGGGAAAAAGAGGGAAGCAAAGAAACUGCUAGAAAAUAUAUACAUAUUACUGCAAUUAACCCUUGCUCUUUAAAAAAAAGCUUCUCAUUCUGAAAAUCUGGAGUUAUUCGAUUGUUUGAUUUGAGUGGGGGUACAUGAUGAUUUGAAGCCAGUUCUGGAUCUUUGUUUUGUUUCAUUUCUUAAAGUUGAAAGCUAUCCUGCCAUCUAUUCUCUAAUUGCUUGGGAGCUGGGUUUAUCUGAGCUGCUGUAAUUACCAUUACUCUGCUCUUUGCAUGCUCAACCCUCAUCUUCACUCUUUUCCAUCUUCCAGGUAUAUUUUUAAUCCAUGGAUCCCACACGAAUAUAGAAUGAAGCUCUGAUUUUGGAAUGUAGAUGUUCAGUUAUCACAUCUCCUUACCUUGUCUCACCUGGUUGAUAAAUUUGUGUAAUGUAUAGUUGAGCACCCCAUUUACAGGACUUUUAAUUAGGAAUACAUUCCUCUUAUUUAACCCUGCAUUUAACCGUUGUGAUGUAAUAAUAAUAUAGUAAAUGGCUUCCCUAUCUUGUGUUUAGGGCUGGUAUGAAUUCUGAAGCGUCCAUGAUUUGCAUGUUUGCUUAAAAGUGUGAUAUAAAAACUGCCUGAAAAUUUAUUAGGGCCUUGGUAUGGUGAUAGCAUGGCUAGUCAACAAUAUAGUCUUCAUGAUUCAUACAAUGUAUAUGUAUUCACAACUGACUCAAAUGAGUGCGCCAAGGCUGUUAAUAGGCUAACAAAUGUAAGCCUAUUUUGGUCUCAAUCAAGGUCUGAACAAAAUUGAUGAAUUUUUUGGGCAUUUGAGGUCUGUUAGCAAUAUGCUUUGUGCCCAGGCCUUUAGUUACUCGUGUACUUAACCCUGUUUAGGGCCAAUCAAUCAUUUGGCUCAUUAGCUUUAGUAAUCAUACACAUAUGUGAUCUUUGAGACUCAGUUUGAAUCUGUAGUUUAGUAUUAAAUGGGAAUCCUUUCCUUUGAAGGCAGAGUAAUUGGGCUGUUAAUUUCAUUAAAUUCACUAGUCCAUCCGUAUGUAUAAUUUCAUUUGUUGUGUAAAUAUGAAGAAAUUGCCGUUGGCUCCCAAAGCUAAGGUAGCCAAGCAGGUCUCCAUCGAGGCCCAGCUGAUGUGCGUGCCCGGGCCGUCCGGUGUGGCAUUAAAAAUUAAAAUUCUGCAUUUAAUUUUCAAAAUUUAUCAGCCUUAACAUCAAUUAUUCCAUGAGUCAUCUUAUGUAAAAUACAGAACUCAAUACGCUUAGAACUCGAGACGUGCCGUUUAGCGAAUUUUCACGGCCCCUCGCAAAGAUAAUAAUGCCUAGUUGCUUUAGGCGCGUGUUUAAUAAUAUUACUUUCCUAAUUUUUGGUGCACAUUUAAGUGACCCAAAUUCAAAUCUCAAUGAAGUUGGAAUGUGUCGAAAACCACGGGUGCAUUUAUGUGACGUGGUUCGAGACAUGUUUCAACGACGUUGCAACUUUCUUUUAAAAUAAUAAUAAAAGUGGCUAAAAUAUUAAAAAUGCACUUAGGUUAAAAAUUGUGUAAAAUCAGAUAAUUUAUGACAAAUAUAACAGUUGAGCGACCGUGCUAGAACUACGGAACUCGAGAAUGCCUAACACCUUCUCCCUGGUUAACAGAAUUCCUUACUCGGAUUUCUGGUUCGCGAACUGUUAAACAGAGUCAUUCUUUCCUCGAUUCAGGAUUCUAAUCGAUGACUUGGGACACCAUAAAUCUCCCAAGUGGCGACUCUAAAAUACUCUUAAAUAAUUGAAACAUGUUUCGAUUGUUCUUUACUUGGGGGUGUGACAGCUCCGGAGACUCUGCUGGGGAUAUAUUCCUCUAGGUUUUAGAAUUCAAGCUUAUAAUAAUCUGUUAUUUGGCUUUGUUUAUUACCUGAUUUUACUACAUGUUGGCUUAAUGUGCAAAAUUAUGUUUUUACCGCUUUGAUAUUAUCUGAACUGUACAUAUAAACUUCUACGAAACCCUUUCUCUUCUCAUAUACAUGGAUGUGCUUACUGGUUGAGACUCCCUAUUCUAUUAGUGUCAUACCUUGAAAUAAGAAAGAGGCCCGACAAGUUACUAUGCCGGAUGGCCGUUUGGUUCCCGGUACGUAGCCCCCUCCUCGACUCGAGUCGUCCGCUCCGCUGCACAGUCUAGACCCUAUACCAAGGUUUUUAACUUAGAAUAACCCGAUCUCAUGCCGGAUCCUUAGUAGGAACGCGGGGUUGGGUCCAUCUAGGACAGGUAACCCGAAAAAAACAUCCUGAUGCAAGACUCUGCGUGCAUCUAACUGCCUGGGAUUUGCCUGUUGACCGGCUUGCAAACAAGGAAAGAAAUUGAGAAAAAUGGAAGCCAUUAGGGUUGUUUAAGAUUAGUCAUUUUCUUGUGAAAAUCAAUACUCAAAUAAGGAUGAAAUGCUGCCGGAUUUUUGAAAAAAGAAAAAAAAAACAAAAAUGAGGCCAUUUAAAGUUUUUAUAUUGAUAAAUUAUUUUCGCCCGAACAACGCUGGUUUGAUUCUCGUCAGGAGUGAGAUACGUAGGAAACCCACAUCGGGUCCAACCCCCUUUGGCAAAUAGCCAAAACAAGAAAACAAGUGUCCAAUUUUAUUCAUUUCUUUUUUCUUCUGAAAUUAACCCGGUGAUGCCAUUACCGCCAAAAACAGUCGAACGUUACUUUAAGGGACUACAGAAGUCUAAUUACACUUAAAAGGCCACUUAUGAAUCUUAUUUUAGUCGGCGGGCAAGCACAACCUUGAAACCUUCCUUUAGAAGUACUGAAAGGCCGUAUUUGCAAAGGCGGGCCCCGGUCUUAGAAAAUAAAUUUCAUAAAAGGAAGAGGAGAGUUUUGAUAUCAUAUGGAAUUAGGUAAACACUUUUUGAGAUGCUAAUUCACUUUAACAAAUGUGGAGAAUAAGCACAAUCAUAUUCUUGAACAAAAUUCCCAUGGAGCUGCACUUGUGGUGGAAUGACCUAGGGGAUGCAGGACGAAGCAGGGUUAACACGCAUUUAAUAGGACUUACCGGGCUGCUAAAAAUCAACCCGAGGGGAGACAUCUUGAAGGCAUUGACCACAUUCUGGGACCCCUCUCAUAAUAUCUUCAAUUUUUCGGAUUUUGAACUAACACCGACAUUGGAAGAAAUGACCAGAUAAAUUGGGAUACCUACAACUCCCUUAAGAAAUGACCUCUUGAUGGGCCUCCGAAGUGUUCAACCUUAUGUGCCAUAUCGAGUUUUGAGACAAUUGGGCAGAUGCCAAAUAAUUCCCCGGGAUGAGGAUAUUAGCCGCCAUGCUGUUGAAAUUAGCCCCAAUGGCCAAUUCCCUGAAGCUAGCGUGCGCCAAAUCUGGAGUGAGUGUCAAAACUUGACAGCUAAUACUAUGGUACGUGAUGUAUCUAAAGGUGAUGUUGCACCGGGAUACACUGCCUGGUAUAGAAAAGAGAAAGAGCCCAGGAGGCCAGCUAAAAUACCACAUCUCCAAUAAUUUCUUGAAACAUCACAGGAACAAUGGGAUUGGCUAGCCAAGGAAAAUGAAUACAGAGCUACCAUAGGAAGAUUAGAAAGGAAAGUCCAAGAACUACAAUUUGAAAAUGAUUUGCAGGCCACAGCAGAUGAGGGAGAAAAGAAAAGACUAACUAAAGAAAAUGAGGUUCUACGAGCCCAAAUCCAAUAGGUGCAAGAAGCCGCAGAAAAUCCAAGAACUACAAUUUGAAAAUGGUUUGCAAGCAGCAGCAUAUGAGGGAGAAAAGAAAAGAUUAACUAAAGAAAAUGAGGCGCUACGAGCCCAAAUCCAAAAGAUGAAAGCAGACGCAGAAAGUCCCGCCAGGAGCCCAAAAGAUGAAAAGCUCAUAGACAAUUUGAGGCAAUAGGUAGCCGAAUAUGGGUUAGACCUGAAUAAGGACGAAGGUGAACUGUCUAGGGUACGAAGACAAUUAGCUAAAAAUGGGGAGGAACGGGCCCGCAUCAUUGUGCAACUGAAGGAAAAGCAUGACGAUGAGAUUGCUGGGAUAAAGCGGAAAGUUAUCAAGCAAGUUGGGGACCUCAAAGCCGAAAGAGAACAUUGUUAUUAACAACAGCAAGGUUGGAUAUGGAUUUGAGGUGAUUCCAGAAAUUGAACCAAGUAGCCGAGUGAACUCUAGAGGCGAGGUCUGAACAAAUUGGGUGCCUAUUUUAAGAAAAGGUUGUUAUCAAGGAAAGAGUAUAGGCAAUUGCAGACUACAUCACCACAAGGUGCAGCCAUUGCGAGGAUAUGACGAAAUCCAUGUUCUUUGCCACCCCCAUGACUUUUUUCCGACAAGUGAUCCAAGGGAGUUUAGCACGUAAGCCGGAAGCAAGGCCGAAUGAUGCCUCGCGAGGCGCAGGAGCACUCCAGGCAUUAAUGUACUCCUACAGAUUGUACUAUUAGUUUUCCUUUAUUUAUAGUCAAUUAGUUUAACCAGGAGUCUAUAUUUUCUAUAUCUCCGACAAGUAAUGGAAGACCUCCACAAACUCCAAGGGAGUUUGGCACGUAAGGUAGCGGCAAGGCUGAACGAGGCCCCGCGAGGCCCAGGAGCACUCGAGGCAUUAAUGUAUUCCUAAAAUAUUGCACAAUUAGUUUACUAGUUUAAAAGUCUAAUCAUGAGUCUGUAUUUUCUUUAUGCAUAUUUAGUUGGUUGUUCGAGUCGUUUUCAUCAGCAUGUGUCACCUUUCAAGUCUUUGUAACUAAAGUUUGCUGUUACGAGAAUAGACGUUUUCCCAAAAUAUGUUAUGCUUUGCUUUUUAUUUGCAAGAUUUACGCUCGGUCUGAUUCAUGCGGGAUCAUGAUACGUAGGUAAUCUACAUAGGAUUCGACCAUAUCUGAACAAAAUUGGAAAUAGAAUAAAUAUGGUAAAAGGAAGAGAAUAGGGACAAAACAAAGAAGGUUUUGCAAAUAAAAGCCGGAAUGACGCAAGCAACCAAUGCAUAUAGGAACCAGCUGCCAUUUAUGUGCAUGUAUACCCAAGUGUGACCACUUAUGUGUCAAGAACAUUACCACUAACGAGUCUUUAGUGUUGCGAUUCCACUUCCCAUAUUAGAUAGGUGACUGGUACUUGUGGCAUACUAGGAACUCACUCCUACAACACGGGGUCAAAAAUCAAACUAGUCAUGGCCAACCAAGAAGCUGAUGUUAGCAUUAUUGACCCUUCAAAGGAGGAAUAGGAAUUGGAUGUUAAUUCUAUAAAGGAGGAAAUGAAUAAGCAUAAACACCAAAUGGCCGAGAUUUACCAAGCAUGGGCAAGGGGACAACCGCCCCCGACCUAUCCUGCCAACGCAACCUUUAUCCCGCCACUGGACGAAGCACAUGACCAGUCUGUCACUGAUCCACCUCUGAGUUUUCCUAUAUACCCACAGCAUCAGGGUGCUACCUCUCAGCCACCAGCCCCACCACCCAAUGUCACUCUUCACCCUCCGCUUCCAAUCCCUCAUAUCUAUGUGGCACCUUCGCCUCCUGCAUUGCAUAGGUUGUCCAGUGAGCCAAUGCUUCAAGCCUAUGACCCCCAAUACUAUCCCCCAAAACCUGCCUACAAAGCCUAAGAUCCUUACUCUUAUGCUCCUCGUCCUGAAAUCCCAAUAACAGUUGAAAAGCCGAUCAAAGAUUCUGAAUAGGAAGAAAUGCUCAGAAAGAUCCGGAGUUUAGAACAAUCAUUCAGGGACAUGGGGGACUAGGUGGCCAGUUGAGCGUGGCCUUUAAUGAGCUUUGUUUAUUCCUGGACGUACAGUUGCCUCCAGAUUUCAAAAUGCCUAAAUUUGACUUAUAUGAUGGUCACGGCGAUCCCGUCGCAUAUUUAAGAGGGUUUUGCAGUAAAAUAAGGGGAGCAGGAGGAAAAGAAGAAUUGCUAAUGGCGUACUUUAGACAUAGUUUAAAUGGAUCGGCAUUAGAGUGGUAUACUCGACAGGAUCCCAAUCGGUGGUAUACCUGGGACGACUUAGCGCAAGAAUUUGCAUGCCAAUUGAAAUAUAAUCUCGAUAUUUUCCCGGAUCAUGUAUCUCUGACAAAGCUAGAGAAGAAACACAAUGAGAGUUUCAGGGAGUACGGAUUCCUGUGGAGGGAAUAAGCAGCUAGAGUUGAUCCACCCAUGAAGGAGAGUGAGAUGGUUGACUAUUUUCUGAAAGCUCUGGAACCUAACUACUUUGGGCAUUUGGUAUCAACGGUAGGGAAGUCUUUCGACGAACUGGUCAAGAUGGGAAGUAUGGUUGAGGAAGGCCUCAAAUCCAAUAAAAUCAUGAGCUAUUCGGCAAUUAAGGCAACUACCCAAGCCAUCCAGGGUGGAGCUAGCAGAGGUUUCGGGAAAAAGAAGAAAGAGGAAGUAGCGACAGUGGAGUCGGGAACAUGGUUCAAGCCUCGGCCACCAGAUCAUUACGGUCAGCCCAUUCCUCAUCACCAGACAUACCCACACACUCCAUAUGGCCCGCUGCAACAUUAUUAUCCACCACCAGAACCUCGUCUCUCAGUCCAUCAUGCACAAGCAUAUAUCCAACCUCCCGCUCAUACACAAUGGCAUACGCCACCCCCCAAAGCACUUACCCAAAUCCACAAAAUCCAUACCCGCCUUCAAGAUCUUACCAUCAAACCCCGAGGCCCAUCUUUCGAGGCAGUCUAGUCACGAGGAACGGGAGGGUGCAGAAAAAGAAUACUUUCACUCCACUGGGAGAAUCUUACACUAUCCUAUUCCACCAUAUGCAACAAUUGGACAUGUUAAGACCAAUUGAGGCGAAGCUGCCAAACCUCCCCCAAAGAAUUUAGAUUAUUCGGUCAGCUGCGAAUACUGUUCUGGUGCACCAGGGCAUGACACUGAAAAAUGUUUGUAUUUAAAGAAUGCCAUCCAAGAACUUAUUGACUCUCACAAGAUUGAGCUGCAGACUCUGAAGGUGCCCAUAUUAACAAGAACCCACUGCCAACCCAUCAGGAAACCAACAUGAUUGAAAUUGAGGAGCGAAGGGGGGGAGCAAAUAAACCCACCAAGGCUGCAAGCAGUAAGAAGCUAGUAACUAGAGAAAAAGAAGGCAGUAAAACUAUCGUAUUGCAGGGGAGCUCAGCAUGUGCAGUCACGCCAAAGCAAGAACAAGCAAAGAUAACAGUAUAUGGGGCGGCUAGAGAACCCGUCGUGGUUGUGGAAGGUUUCCGCAAAGAGCCAGUUAUUGUGAAACCACUAAUUUAACCACCGAUCAUCAACAACAAGGCCGUUCCUUGGAGAUAUGAACAAGCGAUAGUGAUGUACAGAGGGAAAGAAGUUAGGGAGGAAGUAUUUGAGGCACGAGGUUUAACUCGAUCAGGAAGGUACUUUGCCCCAGAAGAGUUGAGAAAGGGCAGAAUCUCUAAAGACAACCUGCAACCAGUAAAGAAAGCUGUAUCAGAAGAAGAGCCAGAAUAAUUCUUGAAGAAAAUGAAAAUACAGGAUUACUCCAUCAUAGAACAGUUAAGGAAAACACCAACCCAGAUCUCUUUGUUAUCAUUACUAAUCCACUUUGAUGAGCCCCGCCGGGCGUUGAUGAAGAUUUUGAAUAAAGCUCAUGUCCUAGUUAAGAUAGUGGUGAACCACUUAAAAAAGAUUUCAAACAAGAUAUUCGAGAUAAACCAGGUCACAUUCUCUAACGAUGAAUUGCCUAUGGAGGGUACGGAGUACAACCGAGCUCUUUAUCUGACUGUGAAGUGUGAAGAUGUCGUGGUCACCCAAGUUUUGGUCGAAACGGGUCCAGUGCAAACACUUGUCCACUAUCCACAUUGACCAAGCUAAAGGUGGAAAAUGAAAGGGUCCGCAAGAAUAACAUCUGUGUUCGAGGUUUCGACUGCGGAGGUAAAGACACUGUAGGGGAUAUAGUGUUGGAAGUAACUAUUGGGCCCGUCGAGUUCAUUAUGGAAUAUCAAGUGCUGGAUGUAUCAGUCUCCUAUAAUCUAUUAUUGGGCAGACCCUGGAUUCAUGCAGCUAAAGCAGUACCAUCUACACUGCACCAGAUGGUCAAAUUUGAAUGGGACAAGGAAGAGAUUAGCGUGCACGGAGAAGAUAAUCAGAGUACCCCAAGUGACGCGAUCGUGCCUUUCAUUGAAUCUGAGGACAACGAAGUGACAUGGGUUUACCAAGUGUUUUAUACGGUGUCAGUACAGAAGAUCCUGUGCAUUUUAUGUCUAUUUUUAGUUCUUGUACCUUGAUUAUUGAUCACUAGUAAUUUUUGAUAUCGAUCCAUCAUUACUAUUUCUUUGAGGUUAGACAAUAUACAUUUUAAAUAUGUGUUGAUUUAUGUACUCAUGCUAUACUUUUGCACUAAAUAUGCAGGUACUGAGAAAGUUACAUAUGAUGGCCAUUCGGGCAUGCAUCGCUGUUAUCCGAAGACUCAGUGGUGAGUUGUUCUCCAUACGUCGUCCUACAGCACCCAGAGUCUUCUUUUUUUUUUCAUUUACUAUAUUUUUUUAUUUUAUUUUGGACAGUAAUAAUAUUUAUUUGUAUAUUCUACUAGAUUGCUCACUUAUGAUCUCGUGUUUUGGAUAAUUCUAAUAGAUGAUUUUAGCUUUUGCCUAAUGUUUUCAACUUUUUUUUUAUGUUUUAUAAUAUUUUAUAUAUUCAUGAUUAUCUAUGAAUUAAUUUUAGUAUUUGAUAAAAUCCAUGAUUUUUAAAGUAAUUAAAAUUAAUAAUUUAAUAGAUAAUUCAUGGUUGGCUUAUCUAACGGCGACGUUAGGUGCCACCACGACAUAUAGUGAAAUUGGGCCGUAACAACUUAGUAUUGAGCGAAGCGGUUCGUACUUAUCUUUGAGAGGCCAUAGGAUGUUCAAAAACUUCUCUUUAUUCAUCUCCCAACAUACAAUUGAUGUUGUUCUAUGAAUUUUUCCUUUAUUUUCUCUCAUGCUGAGAACACAUGCUAUGGCUGUACCCAACGGCAGAGGAGCUGCUCCCCGGUUGUUAGAUGCCGAAUCAGAGACUAAGGGAGGUCCACAAAUCCUUGUUGUUGACAAGGGUGUCCUAGAAUUUAACAUGUUUCACCACUAGAGGAACUACUGAAGGAUCAUAUUAAGGAGCCUGCAGCUGAGCCGGCCUAGUGGAUUUUAUAAUUGCACCAAGGAUUUCAUGAGGUCAUGGGUUGUAUGCUGCGGUUCAUGGAUUCUAUGACUAAGGAUGGGCUAUUUCCGAUGGAACCAACCACAUCUCAAAUGGAAGGGGAAUCACAACCUCUACCGCUUAGGCUUUAGGGUAUGUUGCUAGUAGAUUGCGGCAUUGUGAUUAAUGGGAGCGUUUGAACUAUGGAGCAUUAUUUGUGUGUGCAGAUAGCAAAUGUUGGUAAGUGUGAAGGUUCGGAUUGUCAUACCAUGUUUGUCUCAUGGGCGUACAAUAUGUUUAAUGAUUUUGUAAUCCUAGUGCCUGCAUCCAAAGAAAAAUAGUGAGUUUUUCAAGGGGGAAGGUUAGUUCGUAUUCUUGCGGGCUUUACUUGACGCAUCCGGCGUCGAUCUGAUGAUAUCAUCUGUAUCACUUGGGUAACAUUGCUAAACAAUGUAGUUUCAAUAAUAAACAUGCAUGAAUUUGUG